UGUCGCUAAAUCAAAUUGAUAUCACAUAGCUAACACCACUUUUCCCCAUUUUUCAUUUCCCCCUCUUUUCAUUGCCUCGAUUUCAGCCAUCGCCGCCUAUCGCCGCCCAUCGCCCAUCGCUCAUUGCCCGCCGUCUGUAGCCCAGUUCCCGCCGUCUCCGUCGCCGUCGCCGUCCACCGUCCAACCGAGAUACUAAGCCUGGUGGCUGCAAAUUAGCAUUGGUAGAUUUAGUCACGUUUAAUGUGCGAACUUAGCUUGUUUGGAUAGUGCUCGUACUACUCUAUCGAACAGUUAAGAUGGAAUCUCGUAGUUGGAUGUAUACUAGAACAAAUGACGGUAGAGGGGGGAUGAGGCAAGAAUUUAUGGACGGUGUCGUUGCCUUUGUUGAAUAUGCAAUGACACUUGAACCUUUUAUAAUCGAAGGCUUGGUUAGGUGUCCUUGUGAGAAAUGUCCAUGUAGGAAUUAUGAGACACCAGAGAUUGUUAGGCUUCAUCUCUAUACUCACGGCUUUCAAUUAAAUUAUACAGUAUGGACUAGUCAUGGAGAAACGGAUACUAGUUUGGGAGGAUUUCAAAACUUUGUUGUUGGUGAAAGUGGUAGGGCAGCGAAACCUGAUGUCCAAAAUUAUAGAAUGCACAACAUGAUUCAGGAUGCUUAUGGGAUGCAUUCCGAUUUUGAAUCCGGUAACCAUGUUGAAGAUGAUCCUAAUGAGGAAGCUAGUUGUUUUUUUGAACAGUUGAAAGAUGCUAGUCGGCCUUUGUGUGACGGGAGUCCCCACUUCAAUUGUCUAUUGUUGUUAGAUUAAUAAGUAUCAAAGCAGAUUAGAAUGUUCCUCAAGGGGCAAUGGAUGCUGUGAUUAGCCUUAUACGUGAAUUAAUUGACCCGAAUCUACAGAUACCUGUUAACUACUACAAGACAAAGAGAUUGGUGUCAAAGUUAGGACUCUCGUCCUACAGAAUUGAUUGUUGUGAAAAUGGAUGCAUGUUAUACUAUAAGGAUGACGUCGGUCUAGAAUCUUGUAAGUUUUGUGGAAAAGCUCGUUUUAAGCGAGCUCAUAGCGGGAAAAUAGUUGCUUUUAAGGCGAUGCAUUACUUACCUCUUAUACCAAGGUUAAAGAGGUUGUACAGGGUUGUUUCACGGACUCGCCAACUUGGGGCAAGAUGGAACCAGAUCAGAAGAGACAGAUCUAUUUAACCUUUAAGAGAAAGUGUUUCUGGCUCCCGGAACAUGAAGCUCAUGUCGCCCAAAACUUCGAGAGGAAAGCAGGGCAGCCGCUAAAGGAUGCAUUAGGAAGGGUUCGUGAAGACCAAGCGAAGCCUGAUUGGAUCCAGCCGGAGGCCUAUAACAAGCUAUUGUAGUACUGGGCAUCUGGGCAUCUGAUGAAUUUAAGAAACAAAGUGAAACAGGGAAGAAGGCCAGAAAUUCUACGAAAGGUGGCUCCCUACACACUAGUGGGGUUAAGAGCCAAGCGGUCGUGAGGAAGGAGCUGGAACUCAAAGAAAAGAGGAUAUUGCCUCAAGAUGAGGCAUUUAGAAUCACUCACGUGAAGAAGAAGAAAAACAGUCAAGAACCAGACAAAUGGGUUGAGGAACGGGCUUAAGCAGUCCUACGUAAGUCUAAUUCAAACUCAAACUAUUAAGGGAAUUGUAAAAGUAUUGCUUGCCAAGUUUCCAUAGAUGGACGAGUCAAAUCUAUGUGGGGAAAGGGCGCAUUGAGUAGUAUUUGGUGCCUUCACUUUAUUCCCAUAAAACUAUAUCUUUUGGUGAUUUAUGAGCAACAUUCAGUUAGAAAUCUACCCCAUUUGCUAUUUAUGUGUUAUAACUCAUUGGUUGAGUUUCCUCAAUGCCAUUCUGAUGUUCUAUAGGAGUCAAGGCUGAUAUAGUUUACAAUAUGAUAAAAAAUAUUCUGUUAUACUAUAUGAUAUUAAUUGCUAGUUCAAUUGCUAGUUAUUCUUUUUGUAACUUUUGAAAGAGGUCUCUUUCUUUGUUCGAGUUGCUACACAUAUCAACUCCAAAUGGAUCAGAACGAAUUUAUAGGCACAUUGCUUUAGCUAACUUGCAUUUUUUUUAAGCAAAGUCCACUAAUAAAUUCCUGAAGUGUAACCUGCUGCUGCCACUAAAUUUCUAUCCAUACUAGAGUCACUACACUUUCUAUCUAUUAGUACUUCCAGUAGCAAUUCUCAAAAAACCAGCAAAACUAGGACUUUUGCUCUGCAUCUUUCCUUGUGACUUUGCACAGUACUUAGUGAAAACCAGCAAAAUUGGUCUGAUGCAUGUCUGAGAAAGACCAGCAACAGUACAAGUGAGCUGCUGCUAUCUGCAGCAGUUGUAAGUCCUGCAAUAUUACACCAGGAGCAGAGUGUUAUGACCAUGGAGCAGAAGAUUCUUGAGCUAGCUAUGCAGUUACAGGCCUCGGAGGCUAGGGAUAGGCGGAGGGACGAGCAGCUACAGGCUGCAGAGGAUAGGGAGAGACGGAGGGAUAAGCAAUUUGCGGUAUGAAAGCUCAAUUAGACUUAUUACUUUCUUCGAGGGGAAUUCCCCCUUGUCCUGAUGACGCUCGUAGCUCCAAGCGUCGAUCUCCCCAUUCUCAAUCUAGGGCACGACAUCGAGAGGUUGGUCAAGAACUGGGACUUGUAGAUGAGCCAAGUAGUGGUGAUGAUGAUGGGGAGCACGUGUCAAACAUAGAACGACAUGGUUGAAUUUUAUGUAUCUUACACACUUAUAAAUUUUUUGGUGGAUUUGUAAAAAUGUGAAAGUGUUUGGUGGAUGUUUAGUUUGAUGUUGUAGACUAACUUCGUGUAGACUAGUAUAAGUAUAAUGUUUUGUGGAUGUUUGUAAAGGUUGAAGUAGUUUAAUGUUUUUGUGAA